GAAAGCGUGUUUUCUUACACUUUAGGAGAGACGCUGUGGAAGUUGGUCGUAACAGAAAGUAUUGACUGCAAAAGUAAGAGUACAUGGACUCGACUCCUGAGGGGACGAAAUAUGCCGAAUAAAACAGAAGUCACAUACUACGGAUUGAUCAAUCAAGGAUCAACAUGCUACCUAAACAGUAUCCUGCAGGUUCUGUUUAUGACCAAGGAGUUCAGAGAGGCUGUGAACAGGUUUG